rnacentral:rRNA from 1 species
GCGCAGCAGUUGCGAAAACUUGUCAAUGCACGAAAGGGUGACGGGGCUACCCCGAGUGUCGUCCGCUGAGGACGACUUUUCCACGCUGUAAGGAGUCGUGGGAAGAAGGAGAGGGCAAGUCUGGUGUCAGCCGCCGCGGUAAUACCAGCUCUCCGGGUGGUAGGGACGAUUAUUGGGCUUAAAGCGUCCGUAGCCGGCUCAGCAAGUCUCCCGUUAAAUCCAACGAUUCAAUCGUUGGACUGCGGGAGAUACUGUUGAGCUAGGAGGCGGGAGAGGCCGAUGGUAUUCCCGGAGUAGGGGUGAAAUCUUAUAAUUCCGGGAGGACCACCAGUGGCGAAGGCUGUCGGCUAGAACGCGCUCGACGGUGAGGGACGAAAGCUGGGGGAGCGAACCGGAUUAGAUACCCGCGUAGUCC